rnacentral:rRNA from 1 species
CCUACGGGGAGCAGCAGUGAGGAAUAUUGGUCAAUGGACGAGAGUCUGAACCAGCCAAGUAGCGUGAAGGAUGACUGCCCUCUGGGUUGUAAACUUCUUUUAUAUGGGAAUAAAAUGUUCCACGUGUGGGAUGUUGUAUGUAACAUAUGAAUAAGGAUCGGCUAACUCCGUGACAGCAGCCGCGGUAAUACGGAGGUUCCGUGCGUUAUCCGGAUUUAUUGGGUUUAACGGGAGCGUAGGUGGAUUGUUAAGCCAGUUGUGAAAGUUUGCGGCUCAACCGUAAAAUUGCAGUUGAAACUGGCAGACUUGAGGACAGUAGAGGUGGGCGGAAUUCGUGGUGUAGCGGUGAAAUGCGUAGAUAUCACGAAGAACACCGAUUGCGAAGGCAGUUCACUGGACUGCAACUGACACUGAGGCUCGAAAGUGUGGGUAUCAAACAGGAUUAGAUACCCUUGUAGUC